UAUAGUAAAAUGACCCAAAGUAUACUUUUGCUUCUUUCCAGAAAAUUCAUUUUCUCAUUACAGUGACUACAUUUUUGACCUUUGGUUUCUCUGGUUCGUUUGUUUCUAUCACAUUGUCUCCUGCAAUUAGCGUAGAUUUCUCAUUUCUCCAUCUGAUUUGUUUCUCUAUCCAUAGCUAAUUUGGAGAUUUUACUGUCCACCGGUUAGCUUUCUAGCAUUUGGCCAUUCCUCCUUUUUACUUGUUUUUGUUACUUGUAGUUGUAAUUUUGUUUCUUGGAGCUUAAAUAUCUUAGCUUAAUUCUUUGUUGAUCCUUUCUUGGUUCUUCUGUUUAAGCUUAAAAUCUCAAUUUUUUCUUGUUUUGCAAUUCCAAGAUUGUGACUUUAUUACUUCUUGAAGUGUUUGAGUUUGUGGGAAUUCUUACUUUUUACUUGCUUUGUUACUUGUUAGUUCUGUUUCUGUUUUCUUGAUAAUUUGCUCUUGUUUAAGUGUAUUUUCCUUGUUAUUAAAAAGUUUGUAACUCUACUUUUCUUUCUUAAAAAUCUCACCGUUUCUUGUUUUGCAAUUCCAAGGUUGUGAGUUUUUGUCUUUUUGAGUUAUUUGGAUUUGUGGGAAUUCCUCCUUUUCAUUUGUUUUUGUUACUUGUCAGUUGUAAUUUUAGUUUCCUGAUAAUUUACUCUUAUUUCUUUUCCCUUUGUAAUGGUCUAGUUCUUUGUAUUUUUUCUUUCACUUCUUGUUAUAACAAUAAAGUUCUUAACUUUGCUUCUGUCCUUUUGAUUAAAUGAUUUUUAUGGAUCCUUGUUGAAAUUGAAUUUUUGAUUUCAUGGGACUCUGUCAUGAAAAAUCUAUUCAAUCCCCAUAGAACUUGUCUGAAUAUCCUAUAAUUCCCAUUGAUAAUGAGCAAUAAUUGAAUUCCCACACUGGGAAAACACCAAAGAUUUUCCUUUUACAGUCCAAGUCCUUUUCCUAGUGCAUUUAAGAACUCCCCUGCUAAUUCUAAUGUGACUUCAACACCUUUGAGAUUUCUCAAACAUGUACCGCCAUCACAGGCUAAGCACAUAAGGGCAUUGUUUGCUAGAAGGCAUGACUUAAUUAAGCCUAAUAAAGCUACAAUUCCAGAAGUGAGUGAAUAUGAUAUUAUGUUGGAUAAGAAUUUUGGGUACUCAAAGAAUUUUGAUAGCCACUAUGAGCUUGAAGAAGAAGUGGGAAGAGGACAUUUUGGUUAUACUUCUGCAGCUAAGGAAGAAAAGGGUGCUUGAAGGGGCAUGGUUUGGCUGUAAAAGUUAUUCCAAAAUCAAAGAUUUGCCCUUUUAUGCUAAGUUUCUUAAUUAACGUGGAGCUAGGAUUAUUUGAUGACCGUGCGUACUUUUAAAUUCUGAAAGAGUUUACCAUGAAUUGUCUGCAAUACUUGAAGGAGAAUCAGAUUUGGACUUUGCAUCUGUGAUGGUUCAGGUUUUGCUAAUUUGCUUAGUUGUCAAGAGAAUAUCACCAUUUCCAAUAUAGAGUGUAAACGAUAUAGAGUUCACACUUUGCUUUAUUUAAUUAAUUUCAUGUGAUUACAAAACUGUCAAGCUCAGUCUUGAGAUAUUGUUAUCUGGGGCUUAAAAUGUAUGGCGCUUAAUGUUGUCUUCGUAGUAAGCUGAGUGUGCUGAUGUUUGUUUCAGACUUUAAACUUGCUUACUUCACCUGAGUUGUCUGACCUUAAGGAUCAUCUUAAACAAUCACUGGUCAAAGAUGUUGGGAGAGACUUGUUUCUUUCUUUGUACGCAUCUUGGUGCCAUUCACCAAUGGCAAUGAUAAGCCUCUGCCUAUUAGCUCAGGUAAGCCUUACAGCCUGCAACUUUUCAGGCACUCCUCAUACUUGUAUCAAACAUUUGUUUCCUUUUUUUUUACACUGAAUAUAAUGAGCUCCAUCCUUGUAACAGUCAUAUCAGCAUGCAAGUUCUGUUAUUUAGUCUUUGGUAGAAGAAGAUAUCAGUGUGAAGUUCUUAGUGCAACUACAUAGGUUGAUCCACCUUCUGGAGACUUCAACCUUUGCUUACCUUAGGCUCCAAGUGUUUUGAAUUUUCCUUUUUAUUGACCGUGAAACAUAUUAAUGGACAUUUUUCUUAAGUUUAGCUAAAGGUUGGAUUUUUACUACUAAUAAAAAGGGGUUGGACUUUUGCUAUUUCUGAGUAAUGCAAAAGAAUUGAAAUUCUUAGAGUUUAGAAAUUUUAUUGAAGGUGAUUAUUGCACAAUAUGAAGGUUUUGAACACAAAUAUAAAGUUUAUUGUAUUCCUCCUAAAAAUAAGCUAAAGAUAGAAUUUUUACUGCUUUUCAGAAAAGGAAAAAAGUAGAGAUGAUUGGAUUUUACAGUUUCUAAGUGAUCCAAAGGUUUUGAGGUUGUUGGAAAAAAUAAAUUUUACUAAAGGUGAUUAUUAUAAGACGUUAAAAUUUUGAACAGGAAUAUAUAUUGAAUGUAGUUGCCCUAAAUUUUUAGCUAAAGGUCAAAUUUUGCUGCUUCUAAAUGUUGCAAAGAUUUUGAUUAUGUAGAAAGUUAAUAUUUACUAAGGUGAUUAUUGUAGGAGAUUAGCUUUGUAAAGAUGAUUGGUUUCACCUCUUAUGUAUAAGUGCAAAGGUAAAUACCGUACUACUUUAAACUAAAUUAUUUGUUCUCAAGUAUGUCUGUUGAACUCAGAGACCUAACACAACAACUUAAUUGAAUUGAAUUACCAAAAUUAAUUUGCAUAAUUAUAAUGGAUCAAAAGGUCAUAACAGGAAGGCCUAGUGGUUGAGGCUUGCGAAUAACAACUUAGACAUCUCAAGUUUGAAUCCUAGAUUGAACACUUGGUGAACCCACCUGCUCUAACCAGCUGAUCUACCACUUAAUAUAAAGAAUCAAUUCGAUUAAAAAGAUCCUUUUCAUCUAAUGGAAUUUUCUGUGAAUCAGGAAUGUUAAACGACAAAUUUGGUUGGUGACCUAAAUCGAGGCUCCUGUCUGUUUGAAUGUACAACCCAUCGACACCCCACAUAUCACUGGGUGCAUGUUAUGACAUUUAUGGAAAUAGCUUUCAACAGUUGGGGUAACCUCAAAUCCACGCUAGUUUCCAACCAAAUUAGUCAUUUGUUUCCCCAAUUCUCAAUAGAUAUCCUUUAUGCUUCUGUUCUUGAGUAUUAUUGUUUCACUUGCAUUUCCUUGACUGUUAGUCUCUAGAUCUGUAUGAAGUGAUGAGAUUUCACCCUUGAGUUUCAUUAGCUUAAUCCUGAGAAUUGUGGACUGAAUCACCACUAGAAAGCAUGUUGCUGCUCUUUGCUUGAAUUUAGUCGAACGGUGUCCUAUUGUUUCUUUUGUAGUUGUUGUCACUGUUGUAGUCGAUUAGUGUAUCAAUAUACUACUGUCCUGAUGGUUUGUGGAA